CAUGAUAACCUACCUAUAAGACUGGGAUAACUUCGGGAAACCGGAGCUAAUACCAGAUAAUAUUUUGAACCGCAUGGUUCAAAAGUGAAAGACGGUCUUGCUGUCACUUAUAGAUGGAUCCGCGCUGCAUUAGCUAGUUGGUAAGGUAACGGCUUACCAAGGCAACGAUGCAUAGCCGACCUGAGAGGGUGAUCGGCCACACUGGAACUGAGACACGGUCCAGACUCCUACGGGAGGCAGCAGUAGGGAAUCUUCCGCAAUGGGCGAAAGCCUGACGGAGCAACGCCGCGUGAGUGAUGAAGGUCUUCGGAUCGUAAAACUCUGUUAUUAGGGAAGAACAUAUGUGUAAGUAACUGUGCACAUCUUGACGGUACCUAAUCAGAAAGCCACGGCUAACUACGUGCCAGCAGCCGCGGUAAUACGUAGGUGGCAAGCGUUAUCCGGAAUUAUUGGGCGUAAAGCGCGCGUAGGCGGCCCUUUAAGUCUGAUGUGAAAGCCCACGGCUCAACCGUGGAGGGUCAUUGGAAACUGGAAAACUUGAGUGCAGAAGAGGAAAGUGGAAUUCCAUGUGUAGCGGUGAAAUGCGCAGAGAUAUGGAGGAACACCAGUGGCGAAGGCGACCCUCUGGUCUGUAACUGACGCUGAUGUGCGAAAGCGUGGGGAUCAAACAGGAUUAGAUACCCUGGUAGUCCACGCCGUAAACGAUGAGUGCUAAGUGUUACCGGGUUUCCGCCCCUUAUGCUGCAGCUAACGCAUUAAGCACUCCGCCUGGGGAGUACGACCGCAAGGUUGAAACUCAAAGGAAUUACGGGGACCCGCACAAGCGGUGGAGCAUGUGGUUUAAUUCGAAGCAACGCGAAGAACCUUACCCCAUCUUGACAUCCUUUGACAACUCUAGAGAUAGAGCCUUCCCCUUCGGGGGACAAAGUGACAGGUGGUGCAUGGUUGUCGUCAGCUCGUGUCGUGAGAUGUUGGGUUAAGUCCCGCAACGAGCGCAACCCUUAAGCUUAGUUGCCAUCAUUAAGUUGGGCACUCUAAGUUGACUGCCGGUGACAAACCGGAGGAAGGUGGGGAUGACGUCAAAUCAUCAUGCCCCUUAUGAUUUGGGCUACACACGUGCUACAAUGGACAAUACAAAGGGCAGCGAAACCGCGAGGUCAAGCAAAUCCCAUAAAGUUGUUCUCAGUUCGGAUUGUAGUCUGCAACUCGACUACAUGAAGCUGGAAUCGCUAGUAAUCGUAGAUCAGCAUGCUACGGUGAAUACGUUCCCGGGUCUUGUACACACCGCCCGUCACACCACGAGAGUUUUGAUCA
rnacentral:rRNA from 1 species